UGUUAAAAUUUUUAUCAAUUUCUAUUAUUAAAAACUGGCAUGGCUGACGAAAUAACCGAAUAGUUAUACUUGGCGUACCACAUGUAUCUUAUGUUGACAUACAUGGACGGGCCGGUUUUUAAUAGUAAAAAUGGAUGAAAUUUUUAACU
rfam:Gossypium raimondii Chr07_contig_1368, whole genome shotgun sequence.